rnacentral:rRNA from 1 species
AUACGGAGGGUGCAAGCGUUACUCGGAAUCACUGGGCGUAAAGCGCGCGCAGGCGGCUUGAUAAGUUGGAUGUGAAAGCCUACGGCUCAACCGUAGAACUGCAUCCAAAACUGUCAAGCUAGAGUCUGGGAGGGGAAGAUGGAAUUAGUUGUGUAGGGGUAAAAUCCGUAGAGAUAACUAGGAAUACCAAAAGCGAAGGCAAUCUUCUGGAACACUACUGACGCUGAGGCGCGAAGGCGUGGGGAGCAAACAGGAGUAGAAACCCCAGUAGUCC